rnacentral:rRNA from 1 species
CGCCCUUAGAGUUUGAUCCUGGCUCAAGAUGAACGCUAGCGGCAGGCUUAACACAUGCAAGUCGAGGGGCAGCAUAAUGGUAGUAAUACUAUUGAUGGCGACCGGCGGACGGGUGCGUAACGCGUAUGCAACCUACCCUUUACAGGGGGAUAACACUGAGAAAUCGGUACUAAUACCCCAUAAUAUUCUGGGAGGCAUCUUUCGGAGUUGAAAGCUUUGGUGGUAAAGGAUGGGCAUGCGUUGUAUUAGCUAGUUGGUAAGGUAACGGCUUACCAAGGCGACGAUACAUAGGGGGACUGAGAGGUUAACCCCCCACAUUGGUACUGAGACACGGACCAAACUCCUACGGGAGGCAGCAGUGAGGAAUAUUGGUCAAUGGACGGAAGUCUGAACCAGCCAUGCCGCGUGCAGGAAGACGGCUCUAUGAGUUGUAAACUGCUUUUGUACGAGGGUAAACGCAGAUACGUGUAUCUGCCUGAAAGUAUCGUACGAAUAAGGAUCGGCUAACUCCGUGCCAGCAGCCGCGGUAAUACGGAGGAUCCAAGCGUUAUCCGGAUUUAUUGGGUUUAAAGGGUGCGUAGGCGGUUUAGUAAGUCAGCGGUGAAAUUUUGGUGCUUAACACCAAACGUGCCGUUGAUACUGCUGGGCUAGAGAGUAGUUGCGGUAGGCGGAAUGUAUGGUGUAGCGGUGAAAUGCUUAGAGAUCAUACAGAACACCGAUUGCGAAGGCAGCUUACCAAACUAUAUCUGACGUUGAGGCACGAAAGCGUGGGGAGCAAACAGGAUUAGAUACCCUGGUAGUCCACGCAGU